AUUGAACGCUGGCGGCAUGCCUUACACAUGCAAGUCGAACGGUAACAGGUCUUCGGAUGCUGACGAGUGGCGAACGGGUGAGUAGUGCAUCGGAACGUGCCCAGUAGUGGGGGAUAGCCCGGCGAAAGCCGGAUUAAUACCGCAUACGACCUGAGGGUGAAAGGGGGGGAUCGCAAGACCUCUCGCUAUUGGAGCGGCCGAUGUCAGAUUAGCUAGUUGGUGGGGUAAAGGCCUACCAAGGCAACGAUCUGUAGUUGGUCUGAGAGGACGACCAGCCACACUGGGACUGGGACACGGCCCAGACUCCUACGGGAGGCAGCAGUGGGGAAUUUUGGACAAUGGGCGCAAGCCUGAUCCAGCAAUGCCGCGUGCAGGAAGAAGGCCUUCGGGUUGUAAACUGCUUUUGUCAGGGAAGAAAUCUUCUGGGUUAAUACCUCGGGAGGAUGACGGUACCUGAAGAAUAAGCACCGGCUAACUACGUGCCAGCAGCCGCCGUAAAAC
rnacentral:rRNA from 1 species